GGAGGGCUGGCAGAGCGGUCGAAUGCACCGGUCUUGAAAACCGGCAAGGCUUCACGGCCUUCGUGGGUUCGAAUCCCACGCCCUCCGCCA
rnacentral:tRNA from 2 species